GACAGAGGGUGCAAACGUUGUUCGGAAUUACUGGGCGUAAAGCGCGUGUAGGCGGCUUCGAAAGUCGGAUGUGAAAGCCCUGGGCUCAACCUAGGAAGUGCAUUCGAAACUUCGAAGCUGGAGUCCUGGAGAGGAAGGCGGAAUUCUCGGUGUAGAGGUGAAAUUCGUAGAUAUCGAGAGGAACACCGGUGGCGAAGGCGGCCUUCUGGACAGUGACUGACGCUGAGACGCGAAAGCGUGGGAAGCAAACAGG
rnacentral:rRNA from 1 species